rnacentral:rRNA from 1 species
GCAGCCGCGGUAAUACGUAGGUGGCAAGCGUUGUCCGGAUUUACUGGGUGUAAAGGGCGUGUAGGCGGAGAUGCAAGUCAGAUGUGAAAUCUCGGGGCUCAACCCCGAAACUGCAUUUGAAACUGUAUCCCUUGAGUAUCGGAGAGGCAGGCGGAAUUCCUAGUGUAGCGGUGAAAUGCGUAGAUAUUAGGAGGAACACCAGUGGCGAAGGCGGCCUGCUGGACGACAACUGACGCUGAGGCGCGAAAGCGUGGGGAGCAAACAGGAUUAGAUACCCC